GACUUGGCAGCAUCAUGCAGAUGCUGGGCAUAUUGAUGGAGAAGCAGAAUGACCUCAUCUGCAAAGUUGAUGCAUUGCUCACACAAAGUGUCCGUUCCCGAACAUACCAGGAGAGGGAACUUGAACUUGAUGAUGAGGAUGCUACUGAGAUGAUUGUUAGAAGAAUGUCCAGCUCUAAUCCGGAAAUGUGAGCUACAACAAAUUACAAGCAGUGCCUGGAAGUCUUGGGCCUUCCUGUAAAGUCACUUGAAGAACUGAAGAGUGCCAAUGAGAAACUUGAUGGUGAGGACAAGGGAGCCAGGCGCCGAAGGAAUGCCCUCAUCAACGCUUUGACUGCAUAUGCCCCUGGAAUUGGACAUGGAAAGAAUACUAUAACCAGCAUUGU